rnacentral:rRNA from 1 species
AUUGAACGCUGGCGGCAGGCCUAACACAUGCAAGUCGCACGAGUGGCGGACGGGUGAGUAAUGUCUGGGAAAAUGCCUGAUGGAGGGGGAUAACUACUGGAAAAGGUAGCUAAUACCGCAUACCAUCAGAUGUGCGCAGAUGGGAUUAGCUUGUUGUUGGGGUAACGGCUCACCAAGGCGACGAUCCCUAGCUGGUCUGCGAGGAUUACCACCCACCCUGGAACUUAGCCACGGUCCAGACUCCUACGGGAGGCAGCAGUGGUGAAUAUUGCACAAUGUGCGCAAGCCUGAUGCAGCCAUGCCGCGUGUAUGAAGAAUGCCUUCGGGUUGUAAAGUACUUUCAGCGGGGAGGCGUUACCCGCAGAAGAAGCACCGGCUAACUCCGUGCCAGCAGCCGCGGUAAUUC